UUUAUGACCGUUAAAAAUUAAAAAUAACGUUAAUAUUUUAUAUGACCGUUGUCCCUUUCUUAUUGAUUAUUCCUAUUUUUCUAAGUUAGAUUGUUUCUUAAAAAAUCACCCUCAUUCAAAUCUAUAUAAACAAUGUUACAUUUCUUUCACACUACAAAAAAAAAUAAAAAAAUCCCUCUAUUUCUCCUCAAACUCCUUCCCUCUCAAGGCACACUGGUGAUUGGAAUUCAAUUUUCAACUACUCAAUUUUUUACUGCGUUUCGUCAAUUUGUUCCAUCUGUUAUUUGCUUAGUUUAUUUAAUUUCCUUGACUUUUUCCUAUAAUGUCAACAUCACCAGCUAAUAAACGAUUAAAAAUUCAAUUUAAAAUUGAUCCUAACACUGGAGAACAAUUUAAGUAUUCUAGGAAAGUUGAUGAAUGGGAGUUAACGAAAUUUAUCAUUGUUGAGUCACUUUAUAGUUUUGAUGUUGCAGUUGAACCCAAACAGGCCCCGACGACUCCUAGUUCUUCAGCUUUUUCUUCCAAGCGCUUUCCUGGUUGCGAAUUUUGGCAACAACAUGUUGUAAUGUCACAUGAAUCGAGGAGAUCUGCUGAUUCAAAUGAGCUUAGUAUUUUAUCUGGAGCAACAAUAUGAUGGUAUUGAUGAGUCAGAUUUUGAUCUCUUGGGAUGGUGGAAAGAGCAUACGAAGAAAUUUCCAGUACUUUCCAGAAUGGCACGUGCUAUAUUUGCCGUUCCUGUGUCUACUAUGCCAUUAGGUAGAGUGUUUAGUCAGGAUGAGUUGCAAUUAUAUAUGAUAAAGACAGGUUAUUGGGUGGUGAUGUGGUUGAAAUGACCGAGUGUUUGAAAGAUUGGAUCAGAGCAGAAAGAAGAAAUCAAUGAUUAGAGGAGAUAGACGUGGAAUUUCUAGAGGACCUUGAUGAAGAAUUUCAAGAAAAAUGUAACAUGGAAGAACCAGUCCAUUGAGUUUUCAGAGUCCGAAGCUAAAGAGCUUCUUUCCAAGUUUCAGUAAUGAGCUUCCAGUACUUAGUAUGGUUUCCCUAGUUUUAUAGUACUUGCUAAGAAUUUCACUUUGUAACUUUGCAACAGCCUUUUGGGCAUUAUUUAAUUAAUCCAUCACCCUUCUUCUUUCUCAAAUGGUGCAAUAAAAUUUAGAGAACCAUGUAACUUGGAAAACCAGAAACCUAUAUAUAACUACUGCAAACUUGUCUUA